GCCCUCGUGGCCUAAUGGAUAAGGCAUCGGUCUCCUAAACCGGGGAUUGCGGGUUCGAGUGCCGCCGAGGGUA
rnacentral:tRNA from 1 species